rnacentral:rRNA from 1 species
AACGAACGCUGGCGGCAGGCCUAACACAUGCAAGUCGAACGCUCGUAGCAAUACGGGAGUGGCAGACGGGUGAGUAACACGUGGGAACCUUCCCUAUGGUUCGGAAUAGCUCAGGGAAACUUGGGGUAAUACCGGAUAAGCCCUUCGGGGAAGGAUUUAUCGCCAUUGGAUGGGCCCGCGUCGGAUUAGCUAGUUGGUGAGGUAACGGCUCACCAAGGCAACGAUCCGUAGCUGGUCUGAGAGGAUGAUCAGCCACACUGGGACUGAGACACGGCCCACGACUCCUACGGGAGGGCAGCAGUGGGGAAGUCUUGCGCAAUGGGCGAAGACCUGACGCAGCGACGCCGUGUGAGGGA